rnacentral:rRNA from 1 species
AACGAACGCUGGCGGCAUGCCUAACACAUGCAAGUCGAACGAGACCUGCGGGUCUGGUGGCGCACGGGUGCGUAGCGCGGGGGGACCUGCCCUUAGGUUCGGCAUAACGCCCCGAAAGGCGUGCUAAUACCGGAUCAUGUCUUCGGUCCGAAGAUUUAUCGAAUUUGGAGGGGCCCGAGUUGGCUUAGCUAGUUGGUAGCGUAAAAGCCUAUCACUGCUACGAUCCGUACCUGGUCUGAGAGGAUGCGCACCCACACUGGGACGGAGACACGGCCCAGAAUCCUACGGGAGGCAGCAGUGGGGAAUAUUGGACAGUGGGGGAAAGCCAGAACCAGCACUGCCGCGUGAGUGAUGAAGGCCUUAGGGAUGUAAAGCUAGUUUACCCGGGACUAUAAUGACAGUACCGGGAGAAUAAGCUCCGGCUAACUCCGUG